CGGUCCCGCAUGGGUUGUGGUAAAGUGGGAGGGAAGUUGGGAUGGGUUGGGGGAUGGUCAUUUGUCAUAAAGGAUUCUGGCCCUCGGUGAAACUUCUCUAUCUGGGCGUGUGCGAGAGCACAGGGGGGCGGGGGAGACAGGGCUUAAUCGUCAUGGAGGCCGCGACUGUGAGUCUCCUCUUUGGUCUUUUUGCGCGCGGUCGUGCGUGCGCGCGUGUGUAUGUGCACGCGCACGUGUGCGCUUAUGCCAGUCAAAAGGAAUGGCUGGAAGAUCCAGAGUGAGUGGAAGCUCAUGGUCAGAAGGAUUCACAACAGGUGGAAGCAGUAUGGAGUGUUUUAUCAUUUGAUAUUUCUACAUCAGCUGUCAAGGUAAUAGGAGGUAAUAAAAGUUGACAUUGUGUCCAUGUAUGUGCAUGCUUGCAUCUGUGCAUGUAUGUGCAUGUUUUAAUGCAGAAUAUUUCAGUAACAAGUAGAAAUGGUAUUUACACUGUAAUCUUUGUUGUCCAAAAUACCAUCUAGAGUUUGCCAG
rnacentral:lncRNA from 1 species